rnacentral:lncRNA from 1 species
CGCGAGCGGUGAGGGGCGCGCCGCGGUCCCAGGUGGACCCCGCCCCCGGAGCCCGCCCAACCGCCGGUGCAGGCCCGCUCCGUCCUUGCCCAGGCUCCCUCGCGGGCUGUGCGUCGCGUUCAGAGCUGCCGCUGGUUGAUUUCACGGUGCUUUCCACCAGCAAGAAUUGGGGGUGGUGCCGGGCUUUGGCUUCGGCCAGCGGACUUGGGUUCCCUGGCCGCCCCAGCUACCCGUCUUCACGUUUCCAUCUGUUCUCAGCUGGGGGGUACGGGGGAAGAUGGCUGGAAGGCCCCCUGCCCCUGACUCCCACUUCCCAGCCUCUCUGACUGCGGGCUCCUUGGCCUAGCAAGGUGCAGAACACCUGCCACCUGCACCUGAGAGCCCUCCCACUCCAAAGACCUUCCGCACCAAGACCUCGUUUCUGGCAGUCAUGUCUCCUCUGAAAUAGGUGGCAGUUCACUUUCACAAUUUUUAAACUGGUGAGAAAGGACUUGAAUGUGGCUAGAGGAGGGCAGGCCGGAGGCCACACAUGCAGGAAGGUGCCUGAUGUACAAGCCCAUACUGGCCGGAAGGCAGGCCUGGGUCAGAGACACGGCCGCAAGCCCCUCCUGUCCACAUGCCCAGAGUUUAGAGACACCAAGGUCUCAGCAUCACCUAGAACCUCUGAGAAGUCAUCUCUUGAUCCCCUUGACACCAGGACUUCAGAGAUGCCCGGUUUCAAAAGAAGACAAGCAAGGGGGAUUCCUCAGUCAACACCCAUUUUCCCCUCUCUCCCUUGCCCACCGAAAGUGAUUUAUAAGCACAGCAGAAAUCAAAACAAACAAGCCAUGCUUGGAAAACGAGGAUCCACAUGUGUAAAUAAACGGGAACUACAGCUCAAAGGCAGUCAUACACUUGUCAUUCUUGUUUCUUCCUCUCAUGACAUGGAAAGGCAGGUAGAAAGAUCUCUUGAAGGUUGCUCCGAAGCCCAUGGGAGUGAAUGUUCCGGUGGACUUGGGGCUCUGCUGACGGAGGCCAGGCCACAAGGGGACAACGCUGGCACCAGGCCCAGUCACCUCUGUACCACUCGUUAGUAGUCUGGUUGGUGGCCGCCAGAUACAGGACAAACAACAGGUAGCCACCCAGGAGGAAGCUCAGAACCACGACAAAGCCCAGCAUGAAGACAAUCCGUGGAAAAGUCAGGAACAGGUACUAGGAGCAGAGAAAAGGUAGUGCUUUAGGCAGCUGGACUGUGACAUCCAUGAGAGUGAACACUGGCCAACCCUGGGCCUGCCACAGCCACCAGCGCUGCUUCCUCAGCCCACCUACUUGUGUCCAGAUGUGACAAACUGAACAUAAACAGCACUGAGAAGCAGCCCAGAAUAAUCCCAGUACAUACAAGAGUUUCCUGUGGGAUGAAUGAAGUGUUCACACUGAAGGAAAAGGGAAAGUUUACUUAGGAAAUGUGCUAUUCCAGUUAGCUAUUUAUAAAAUAAAUGCAGACUUCAUUCAUCAAUAUAAAAUCCAGAUGGACAAAAGAGAUCAAUGUCUUUCUUAAAACAAUACAACCCCAAAAAUAGAUGUACAAGGAUAUUCGUUGUAUCAUUGAUUUUAUCAGCCCCUCUUCCGAAGUUUUUUUCCUUUUCUUAAUAAAUAGAAACAGGGGCCGGGCGCAAUGGCUCACGCCUAUAAUCCCAGCAUUUUGGGAGGCCGAGGCGG